rnacentral:rRNA from 1 species
AGCGAACGCUGGCGGCAGGCCUAACACAUGCAAGUCGAACGAACUCUUCGGAGUUAGUGGCGGACGGGUGAGUAACACGUGGGAACGUGCCUUUAGGUUCGGAAUAACUCAGGGAAACUUGUGCUAAUACCGAAUGUGCCCUUCGUGGGAAAGAUUUAUCGCCUUUAGAGCGGCCCGCGUCUGAUUAGCUAGUUGGUGAGGUAAAGGCUCACCAAGGCGACGAUCAGUAGCUGGUCUGAGAGGAUGAUCAGCCACAUUGGGACUGAGACACGGCCCAAACUCCUACGGGAGGCAGCAGUGGGGAAUCUUGCGCAAUGGGCGAAAGCCUGACGCAGCCAUGCUGCGUGAAUGAUGAAGGUCUUAGGAUUGUAAAAUUCUUUCACCGGGGACGAUAAUGACGGUACCCGGAGAAGAAGCCCCGGCUAACUUCGUGCCAGCCGCCGCGGUAACAC